ACCUUCCCCUCUCUUUAAAGAGAUCUAGGAGGGACGUUGAUUACAUGACCUAUUCCCUGUAUAGAAGGAUGGGCACAAGAUUCAUAUUGAACAAUGAAGAAAGACUUACCUUCCCUUGGAUUCAAUUUGCAUGGCUGACUUGUUUAGGCUUCACCGUAUUGAAGAACAGUCAUGAUUUUGUAUUUCAUCCAGCUCUUAUUAUUUGUUGAGUUUUUACUCUCACUUGGAAUCUCCCCACAAGUCUUCUGCAGCUGCCAGGAAAUCAAGCCAAGCUGUGAUAUCAAACUGAACCACUCCUGUGCAUUGGAUGGUAAGUUAGCUCAGGCUGUGGGAAGGAGCCGGGAUUCACAGGACAAUCCAUCAAGAAUACGCUGCUGUCUCUCACCUGGCAGCUGCCGGACCCAGGGACUCUGUCCUGUUUCUUGCUGGUUAUUACCUGGAUGCUCGCCUUAGUUCCUUUGCUAUGUGGGCCUCUCCAGCAUAAUAGUUGGCUUCAUCAAAAACAUCAAGAGAAAGAGAAUCUGCUAGCAAGAUGGAAGUGACAAUCUUUUUUUUAUAACCAAGCCACAGCACCAGCAUCCUAUGACCGUUGCCACAUCCUAUUGGUUAGAAGUAGGUGGCCAGGUUGAUUCCACACUGAAAUGGAGAAAGUCACAGGGCAGUAUGAAGGCCAGGAGGUGGGCACCACUGGGGGCCUGUGAUGGUUUAGAUAUUAGGUGUCCCCCAAAAGCUUAUAUGUGAGACAUGUAAGAAUAGUGAGAGGUGAAAUGAUUGGGUUAUGAGAGCCUUGACCCAAUCAGUGGAUUAAUCCUCUGAUGGUAACUGAAGGUGGGCAGGGUGUGGCUGGAGGAGGUGGGCAUUGAGUUGUGCCUUUGGGGUAUAUACUUUGUAUCUGGCAAGUGGAGUCUCUUUCUGCUUCUUGGUGGCCAUGUUCUGAGAUGCUUUCCUCUACCAUGCUUCCUCCAUGAUGCCCCACCCCACCUCGAGCCCCAAGGAACGGAGCCAGCCUUCUAUGGACUGAGACUUCUAAAACUGUGAGCUCCCAAAUAAA